AGUAAUCCAAGGAAUAGUAACUAUAUUGAUUGGUAGGAAUCAGACUCUUGCCCUUCUAAAACAGAUUCUCUGUGUUCUGUUUGGUCUGAUGUCAUUUGGAAAACUAAGGGUUUAAGAUAGACUGCUUCCACAGGUCUUCGUCAGUCCUUAAAACCAUAUAUCCAUUUCACCAAAGGAACUAUUCCUAGCUCUCAAUAUAAUCUGAUACAGCUUACUAUUGUUAUUGCCAUAUCUGAAAACUCUUUCCUUCAUUAAGUCUUAGUUUUGGUAUAGGAGCUGACAUUUCAGGAAACGACUGAAAGAAAUUUUUGAAAUAUGCUUUAUUGCUCCUUCAACCUCUUUAUCAAUCACUCCUCCUAGACACAAUGAGAAAACCAGUCUCAGUGGUAGAAGUAGAAGACCUAAGCCAAACCAUAGGCAUUGCAACCGGAUAUAAGGAUGCAAAUGCCUGGUUAUAAUGGAUUAAAUAUUCCAUUAAAUAAAAGCUUGUGCACACGGUAGACCAGACCCCAGAUUGUUCCCUUUCCACUUGGAUGGUCUAAUCAAGUGGACAUGAAGUGCCUAACAGCACUUUUUCAUGAUUACAGAGUUUGGAAUAAACGACUGUGCCAAGUUCUUUUGCUGCUAUUUUCUGAAAUUCAUCAUCCUGCGGGUCAUCCCCUGAGGGCCACCCCGACUCCAUCUUCCAAGGCAAAAUUUGCCACGUCUCUCGUGACAGGGGCAGAACGUAGUAUUCCUUGGGAACGUAACAGGAUGCAGUGAAGUCUGGCACUUCCAAGAGCUGACUCAUCAGUCUGCCUUACUCAUCCCCAAGCAGAUGCAAUUUGGAUUCCUUGAGGUGUACCACAUAAACUUAGAGCCUAAGAUCAGACAGCUGCAGGAUUUGAGCCAAUGUUUUUCUGGUAGGGUGGCUCAUGCCUGUAAUUCCAGCACUUUGGGAGGUCGAGGUGGACAUAUCAUGAUGUCAAGAGAUCAAGACCAUCCUGGCCAGCAUGGUGAAACUCCGUCUUUAAUAAAAAUACAAAAAUUAGCUGGGUGUGGUGGUGUGCACCUGUAGUCCAGCUACUCAGGAAGCUGAGGCAGCAGAAUCACUUGACCCUGUGAGGCAGAGGUUGCGGUGAGCCGAGAUUGCACCACUUCACUCAAGCCUGGUGAGAGAGUGAGACUCUGUCUCUAAAACAAAAAAAAAGAAGAACAGAAUUCUUGUUCCUUUUAUUUUCUAGUGGGUUAUUUGUAUUUUUCCUAUUACUUUGGAGGAAUUCCACAAAUUCUUUACCUUUGAAUGUUGGUUGUUAGUGUUCCAGAUGGUUUCUCCCAGUGUGUGGCUGUCAUACUUGUGUUUUUGAUCAUGAUGAGUUAUUACUUAUAGUGUACUUUAUAUUUAUGAUGUAAAUAUAAUUAUCAUGUUUCUGCUCUCUGACCCUGAAAUCAUAUUCUCUAACAUUAUUUUUAAUAUGUUGUGAAUUAUCAUAGUUCCUUUUUUCUUUAUCUGGAAAGCCAGUUGCUCCAGAAAAUCUAGUGAAAUUUCAUCCACUCUUACCACUUUUAUCUGAAAUGUCACUGUGUCAUAAAACAAGAUUACACAUCAGAGUAGACAUGGUUUUUAGGCUAUACUUUUUGUUCUGUUAAUUAACUUUUCUUUCUUUGUGCAAAUACUUAACUCUUGAUUUUGUACUAUCAUUUUUAUUACAUUUUUCUAGUUUGAUGAGGCAAGCCCCCUAACUUUGUUUUCUUAAAUUAUCAUUUUGGCUAUUUUUAGUCUCUCAUCUUCUUAUAUAUGCAUUUUAGAAUGACAAAACAUUUCAAUCACAAUCCAUUUAAUUGAAAAUCAUUACAUGUAUAUAUUAAUGUGGAAAGACUUAAUAUGUCAGUUAUAUCAAACACACUAGUCCAUAAUCAAUUAUCUGUGAUUUCUAUAAUUCAUUUGGAUUAAUAUUUGACCUUUUCUCAAAAUGGAGUGAGAUUUAAUUUCACUAAAAAUUAAUUAUUUAAGUAUGAAUCCACUUAGUCAGCACAGGUUAACCAAGGAAAUGUGUGGGACAUUAACAAAUAAGGGAAAGGUCAAAUUUUCUACCCUCUGGUUAUAGUGGAAUAUUCUGUCUCCUCUCAAAUACUGUAUGUGGUGCAAGAAAAUUUGACAUGUGGCCAGAGUGUGCAGCUAUAAAAAUCACAAAUUUCUUAUUGGCAAUACUUGUUUAAGUUUGAAUAAAAUAAAUAUAAAUGUUCUUCCCCAGCCAUAAUUGAUCAUUUCCAACAUUUUGUUAUGUUGCAACCCAUUUUUGGACAUCUGUAGAAUACAGAGAUCUAGACAACUACCUUAGUUCUUUCACUUAAGACAUGGAACAUAUAAUCUAGUCCUGUAAAGAACUUAGAUUACUUCUUACACAUGAAAUGCACCUUCACACUAAAUGUGUCUGCUUAAAUGUCUCCAUGAUCUGGACUGUCUUCCGGUUUUCUGCUAAUAGCAAUCUAUUCUUCUUUUGUAAACACCUUCAAAUGUAAUUUUUAUUAUAUUAUCCUACUAAACUAACACAUGUGAUUUCAUAGUAGCUAUUGUUAUUCGUCAAUGUGCAUGUUUCCUUCAUUAUUCCUGUGUGUGGUAUCAGCAGUUAGAUAAUAUUAAUACUAGAUUACAAAUAUUUAACACAGUGGCAGAGAAUACGACACAGCCAUAAAAAAUGAUGAGUUCCUGUCCUUCGUAGGGACAUGGAUGAAUCUAGAAACCAUCAUUCUCAGCAAACUGACACAAAAACAGAAAAUCAAAUACUGCAUGUUCUCACUCAUAGGCAGGUGUUGAACAAUGAAAACACAUGGACACAGGGAGGGGAGCAUCACACACUGGGGUCUGUUGGAAGGGACUAGGGGAGGGAUGGGGAAGUGAGGAGGUUGGGGGUCAUAACAUGGGAGAAUUACCAGAUAUAGGUAACGAGGGGAUGGAGGCAUCAAACCACCUUGCCAUGUAUGUACCUAUGUAACAAUCCUGUAUGAUCUGCACAUGUACCCCAGAAUCUAAAGUACAAUUAAAAAAUCUAUAUAUAUUAUCUUAAAUUGAUUCUUUUCAAACUUUACAUUGGUUUGAAAUUAAAUAUUAACACUGCCAUAAUGAUUAUAUCUGUUUUGUAUGUAAGAAUCUGUAAUUAUAUAUAUAUUUAAAUUGUAUUAUAUUUACAUAUGAUAAACUUUAAAUGGCUAAUAUUCAAUGAAAUAUUAUUUAUGCAAUUUUAUUUAGCUGUAUAAUACUCUUAAGAAUUACAUAGGAGGCUGAGGAAGGAGAAUUGCCUGAACCCAGGAGGCGGAGGUUGCAGUGAGCCGAGAUCGCGCCACUGCACUCCAGCCUGGGUAAUAAGAGUGAAACUCCGUCAAAAAAAAAAGAAUUACAUGUGAUUAGUGUCUUCUUAGUGUUUCAAAUCUUUGCUCUGCCAAUUAAUCAAUGCUUAAAAUCUAUUCCAUAGUUUAAGAUAUAUUCUGUAGUUCUGAAUAGAGUAAUAAAGUAUCUAUGCUAGAAGAGAAUUUGGAGAUUAUCUUGAUUUAUAUCUUCACUGUGUAGAUAUUUUAUUUUCUAUUGGAAGCAAAUUAUUAUCUCAUAAACUGGGGAUUUAAACUUUGAGUAUGUAGAUUAUAAAUGUUCUAGGCAUAAUUUUAAAGCACAGUCAUCCUGUUAAUACGGAGUCAUCCUCUUAUAUCAUGAAUAAAAAUGGCUCAUUGUGAGAGAAUAUUCAAUCAAUUUCAAAAGGAAACAAUCUCUAUGACAAUUCUGAAAUACUGUUCAAAAGAUUGGCUUAAUUUUUAAAUUAAUAUUGUGCAUUUUGCUUUUAAGAUGUGUUAUAAGUAACUUACAGACAAUAUACUUCAGAGUUUUUAAUUGUAACCAAAAAAUUUCACUGUAAUUUUGAAUCAUCAAUUCAUUUGUACAUGUAUGCAAUUGUACA
ensembl:lncRNA